GUGGGGAAUAUUGGACAAUGGGCGCAAGCCUGAUCCAGCAAUGCCGCGUGGGUGAAGAAGGUCUUCGGAUCGUAAAGCCCUUUCGACAGGGACGAUGAUGACGGUACCUGUGGAAGAAGCCCCGGCUAACUUCGUGCCAGCAGCCGCGGUAAUACGAAGGGGGCUAGCGUUACUCGGAAUUACUGGGCGUAAAGGGCGCGUAGGCGGCUCUGUUAGUCAGGCGUGAAAUUCCUGGGCUUAACCUGGGGACUGCGCUUGAUACUGCAGGGCUUGAGGCCGAGAGAGGGUGGUGGAAUUCCCAGUGUAGAGGGGAAAUUCGUAGAUAUUGGGAAGAACACCGGUGGCGAAGGCGACCACCUGGCUCGGUUCUGACGCUGAGGCGCGACAGCGUGGGGAGCAAACAGGAUUAGAUACCCUGGUAGUCC
rnacentral:rRNA from 1 species